GCACCUACCGAUUGAAUGGUCCGGUGAAGCCUCGGGAUUGUGGCGAGUUCCCUUUAUUGGGAGUUUGUCGCGAGUACUUGUCUAAACCUUAUCAUUUAGAGGAAGGUGAAGUCGUAACAAGGUUUCCGUAGGUGAACCUGCAGAAGGAUCAAGAUCGAAAGAGCGUCGGGUAGGGAAAGGAGGGUAGAUGUCGUUGGUCGCCGUAGCAUUAAAAAAAAAAACAGAUAAUCUAUCGGAAUACCAUACAGGCGUAUCACAACAAUGCGUAAUUAUCAC
rnacentral:misc_RNA from 1 species